rnacentral:piRNA from 1 species
UGGUUGUCUCAUGGAUGAGGAAAUCCUCA